GUCAAGGGCACUGAAGGUCUAUCUUCAAGCAGUUUUAUUGGAUGAGAAAUAAGUUUCGGCCUACACAGAUGUCUUUAUCAAGCUUGAUGAAGACAUCUACGUAGGCCGAAACGUUGUUUUUCUUGUUCCAAUAAAAGUGCUUGAAGAUAGACCUUCAGGGGGGCGGGGCCUGGAUUUCAUGUUGGCUGGACGUGCCUCGUGUGAGCUCCGAGCUCAAUCUACC